rnacentral:rRNA from 1 species
UACGUAGGGCGCAAGCGUUGUCCGGAAUCAUUGGGCGUAAAGCGCGCGUAGGCGGCCAGAUAAGUCCGGUGUGAAAGUCACAGGCUCAACCUGUGAAUGCCGCUGGAAACUGUCUGGCUUGAGUACAGAAGAGGAAAGCGGAAUUCCACGUGUAGCGGUGAAAUGCGUAGAGAUGUGGAGGAACACCAGUGGCGAAGGCGGCUUUCUGGUCUGUAACUGACGCUGAGGCGCGAAAAGCGUGGGGGAGCAAACAGG